CGGGGAAGCCAGGCUGACCAGGAGCACCGGGAAUACCCUUCUCCCCCUUAACGCCGCCACUUCCUGGGGGUCCACGGGGACCCUGUGGGCCAGCUGGACCUUCAGACGCAGAAGUCAAAGGUUCAAAGAUCCCAUCAAGGAGCAUGUACCACAGCAUGUAUCAAAACCAUCAAACCACUGGGGUCUAACCUGGAGGACCUAGGGUUCCCAGAAUUCCCGGAUAAAGCGGAGCCGGUUUGACGGCAUGGGGCAAAAAACAGAAGAGGAGGUUUAGACAGAAGCAAGCAUCAGUACAGAAACACAGUCUGACUAAACAAUGGCCAAGGUAUUUUAUCUUUACAUAGCCAGGAGGUGUUAAAAAACAAGGCUAGUGGAAUCCUCACACUCUUAUUUUUUUGUGGAGUGUUGUUUUACAUUAAAUGAAUAGUGAGAAGCUGUUAUGAUAGCAUAAACCUGACUCUCUUGAUCUUAAAAGUAAUUUGCUGUUAAUCUUCUCCUUCGACCACCAGAUAUCAUGACAAGUUAUAAACAAAAUAAAUUUAAAUAUACAGUAUGUGACACAUACUAAACAUAAUGAUUUAAUGUUUCAGGUGAGUUAGUUUUAUGGUGUGUUUUUGAACACAAACUGUUAAAUACCAUGUACAUAACACAUUCUGUUAGAUUUGAAUUCAGAAGUACCUUCAUGUGAUUCAGAUAACAUGCUGAUUGUGCCAGGAAACUACUGUGAGUUUUAAAAUCUUGGGUGUGUUAUUUUAUUCAUCAUAAAAUAGGAAAAAAAAUAGAUAAAAAGGUGCUUACUUUUUAACAGUGCAUUAUACUACCAUCAGUGUGCAUGAAUAGGGAAGGAAGACAGUGAUUAGAAAGAGAUCAUAAAGGGUCAGAAAUCAGAAAAGGGAGUUCUCAGGUUCCCAGUAGAUCAGAGAGUGAGAUUAAACUCAAGUCAGUGCUGAUGUAAAGAACGUGCAGUAGGAGUCUGGACACUGUUGAUCUGACCUGAGGGACCUGCGAUGGCCGGACGCAGGUGUCAUCACGGCAAGAGGCGGGGCCGCACCACAGUGGGUGGGGCCAGGCCACAGGAAACAGGAGCUUGCGUCAGGCUGGGUCCUGGGGGUCCCUGGACACCUGGGUCACCCCUCUCUCCUUUAGGGCCAGAACUGCCGGGUGCACCAUCUCUACCUGGGAAUCCGGAUUCACCUGGAGAGGAGAACAUGAGAAUCACAGGAAAAUGAACCCAGUCCAACCUUAUGCAUUUUACCUGGUGGUCCCAUUAGGCCUGGAGGUCCAGGAGGGCCUGGGGGCCCCAGUGAGCCAAGGGAAAGAGAUCCAGGUGGGCCACGAGCUCCAGGGAUACCAGGUGAACCGGGCUCACC